rnacentral:rRNA from 1 species
UAUUGGACGAUGGGGGCAACCCUGAUCCAGCCAUGCCGCGUGUGUGAAGAAGGUCUUCGGAUUGUAAAGCACUUUAAGUUGGGAGGAAGGGCUUUAGGUUAAUACCCUGAAGUUUUGACGUUACCAACAGAAUAAGCACCGGCUAACUCUGUGCCAGCAACCGCGGUAAUACAGAGGGUGCAAGCGUUUAUCGGAAUUACUGGGCGUAAAGCGCGCGGAGGUUGUUCAGUAAGGUGGGUGUGAAAUCCCCGGGCUUAAACUGGGAACUGCUUUCAUAACUGCUGAGCUAGAGUACGGUAGAGGGUAGUGGAAUUUCCUGUGUAGCGGUGAAAUGCGUAGAUAUAAGAAGGAACACCAGUGGCGAAGGCGAAUACCUGGACUGAUACUGACACUGAGGUGCGAAAGCGUGGGGAGCAAAC